UCUCGGCUCUCUCUCUCUCUCUCCUCCUCUCCUCCGAAAAACUCCCUCCUCUCUUCUCUCUUCGAUUUUAUCUACCUAAGGUGUGAUUCCGGACAAGGUCCGAGAAUUAAAGUUGCUAUACGAAGCACGGGCUUUCUGAAUAUCCAAGAAAAUUUAUGAUCGGACCUCGUGGGAGCUCGGUUGACUUGGUCAAAAGGUUGGGUUUUGCUCAAAACCCUUGAGGUUCAUUGCAGGUCAUGGUCAUGGAGUACUUGGAGUGCAUGCUGACAUUAUCGAUUAAAGCUAUUUUGGAGAGUACUUUAUUAUUCUUGUAUAA